UACACCCAUAAAGCCAUCACCAACCAUCAAGGCCAUAGACACAUCUCUGACCUCCCGUAGUUUCUUCUCACUCCUUUAUUAUUAUUAUCACCAUUACUAUGUGUGUGUGUGUGUGUGUGUUUGCAUGUGGUAAGGACACUUGACAUUCCCUCUUAGCAAAUUUCAAGUGUACAAUAGUUUCCCCCACCGUUCAUAGUUUGCUUUCUGUGGUUUCAGUUACCCGUGAUCAACUGCAGUUUGGAAGUAGAUGAUCCUCUUCUGACCUACUAUUAGAAGGUCAGCAGUAGCCUAACACUGCCCCAUAAUGCUUAUGUCAUUCCCCUCACUUCAUCUCAUCAUGUAGGCAUUUUAUCAUCUCAUCAUAAGAAGAAGGUUUGUUGGCAUGGAAUAGAGAAUGAAGAGACACCUUUCGAACAGAGUGUGUCUAUACAAGCUUUGUCACAGGUCUGGAACCCAGUGGUAGGUCUAUAGAUCUGGAACACUCACCCCUGUAAGAAGUGUGUCCCAAUACUGAAAGACAUUUGGCUCCUCUCUAAUGUACCUGGACCAAAAGCAUACAUGGUUGGGGCACAUAAAAUCUACACCAGCUUCAGAAGCAUUACAGCCCAGAGUAAAGAAAUGUGGAGAGGCCCUCCUUUGUAAAGAGCUGCAUAUUCUGUAUGUCAGGAAAUCCCCUCACCUGUAGGAAGGUUGAAAAGGAUUUCCCAUCCACACUGAGUCUUCUCCAGCACCAGGUCAUUCCCAAUGAUGAUAAGCUAAACAAAAGCACCAAGUGUGCGGGGGCCUUUCAUGGUGGAAAAAGUCAUUGCAAGUCAUGUGAAUAUGGGAAAGCUUCUAGUCACAAACGCAGGUUUGUUUAUCAUCUGAGAGUCUCCACUAGAAAAAAGGACUUAUGAAUCUAGCAAAUAUGGGAAAGCCUUCCACUGCAAAUACUCACUUGUUCAACUUCAAAUAGUCCACACUGGAGAAAGACGUUAUGAGUGCAGUGAAUGUGGAAGUCUUUCAGGCAAAGAGCCACUCUCAUUAUACACUAGAGUUCACGCUGGAGAAAGGCCUUAUAAGUGUGGUGAAUGUGGGAAAUUCUUUUAUCCAAUGCCCCAACCUUAUUGAACACUGCAGAAUUCACAGUGGAGAAAGGCCUUCUGAGUGUGAAGAAUGUGGGAAAGCCUUUGGGCCAAAUCCAAUCUUGUGUCACACCAAAGAACUCACACUGGAUAAAAGCCUUAUGAGUGUACUGAAUGUGGAGAAUUCUUUAGACAAAGCUUCACCUUCAUUCAGCACCGGAGAGUUCAUACCACAGCAAGGCCUUAUGUGUGUAUGCAGUGUGGAAAAUCCUUUAGCCAAAGAGCCACCCUCAUUAGACCCAGAGAAUUCACACUAGUGAAAGGCUUUAUGAGUGUGGAGAAUGUUGGAAAGCCUGUGGAUCCAAGUGUAAGCUCAAUCGACAUAACAGAAGUCACACUGGAGAAAGGUCUUAUGAAUGUGCUGAAUGUGGGAAGUCUUUUAAUAAAGCUAUUGCCUUGUUGAACAGCAGUGAAUUCACACAAGAAUAAGACCUUUUGAAUGUGGCCAGUGUGGGAAAUGCUUUAGCAGGAGAGCCAGCUUCACUAAACACCAAAGAAUUCACACCGGAGAAAGGACUUAUAAGUGUGGUGAAUGUGGGAAAUCCUAGUAGGAGCACCAGCCUUAUUCAGCACUGCGGUAUUCACACGGGAGAAAAGCCCUAUGAGUGUGGCCAAUGUGGGAAAUCUUUUAGGCAAAAGUCUGUCUUCAUUCAACAUCAGAUAGUUCACACUGGAGAAUGGACUUAUGAAUGGAUCAAAUGUGGCAAAUCCUUUAGCCAACGUUCCAGUGUUAACUUCCAUGAAAUUCCAAAAAUUUCACACCGUGGAGAGGCCCCAUGAAUGCAUGAAAUACAGGAAAUCUUUCACUCCAGUGUGUCAUGUUUCAGACCAGAAAGUCCAAACUUGAGAAGAGUCUUAGAUUUAAGGAAAUGUCCUGUCUUCUUGUUCACUUAUGACAGCUCUAAACAGCUUCUAUGAGGGAGCCAUCUACCUGAAGUGGAGCCUCAUACUUCAAAAAACAUCUGGAGCGAUGAAGUUACCCAUGUGUUCCAGGCAUAUGUGAGGCUUCCAGGAGCUGUAUUGCACAUUAUGAACCCCACAGGGCUCUUGCCAGGCUCCUGUCAGUGCCAGUCUUGCUGGUAGAAGCUAUCUCACCUCGACCACUUUGCAUAGUGUGCAUCAGUCACCCUGAUGUGCUAAGGCAAGGCAGACAUCUGUGUUCUCAACCAGUCCCUGGUGGAAAUCUUGAGUAGUCUGUGUCCUAAUAGUAAUAUCAAUUUUCUUAAUAAGAACGAAUAUAAUCCAAUUUGGGCCAUAUGUGGGCUGUGCUAGAGGCUUGCCCAGAGGGCGUUCUGCAUGGAAAUUGGAAAUUGUUGAUUUCACAUAGCACUUGUAUUUGAUUUUUCUAGCCUCCAAGUCACCAACUGGUAACUGUGUGUCUCACAUUGAUCUGGGCUCAUGCAGUAAUAAAUGUCUUCUUAAAUCUA